CAUUUACGGGACGCACGUGCUUCGAUGUUGCGAGGCUUUCUGGCAAAUGGCUCCCAGAAAAAUCAGAGACCAACGUUAUGCUGGCUGUUCUGCCACCAGCCUACAUGGAUAACUAGACCACUUGGGCUGAGUCCAAUAAGUGCUCAUCAGCGAUGUGCCGCGGACAUUUGUUUAAACUGCUUGUACUCACCAUGUUCGACAGAAAGCCUCGCCGCCGCAGAACAGAGAGGCAGAGAGGGAGUCACGCAUGGUUUUAUAAAGUGCCGUACGACGCUGUGCAUUAUGGGAACGGACACUCCUUCUUCCUCUUUGACAUUAAACGGUGUGCUCUUAGGACCAGGAGCAGGACGAAAAAUUGGCUCUUGAUUGGCUGAUUUGGAAUGGCGAACGACGUAUGGAUCAGCAGAAUUUUGUCUGUCUCUCUGUGUUGUCUGGGCCUGGCUCUCCACCUGCACACCUGAUCCACAUUCCACUAAUCAAGACUCUGCAGUAUAUCAACCUGGUUCUUCACCUCUCUUGUCACCAGAUUGGUCACUGCCUGCCUGGAGAUUCUGCCACUGCCUCAUCCAGCUCACUGCCCGCCUGGAAAUCCACUCGCUGCUCUCCAUUCCCCUGUCUGCCCUCUGCUCUGCUCUCACACCCCUUUUCAAUAAACUUUAAAUUCCUGGAUUUAAA